UACGAAGGGGGCUAGCGUUGUUCGGAUUUACUGGGCGUAAAGGGCUCGUAGGCGGCCAACUAAGUCAGACGUGAAAUCCCUCAGCUUAACUGGGGAACUGCGUCUGAUACUGGAUGGCUUGGAUUUGGGAGAGGAAUGCGGAAUUCCAGGUGUAGCGGUGAAAUGCGUAGAUAUCUGGAGGAACACCGGUGGCGAAGGCGGCAUUCUGGACCAAUAUUGACGCUGAGGAGCGAAAGCCAGGGGAGCAAACGGG
rnacentral:rRNA from 1 species